AGCGAACGCUGGCGGCAGGCCUAACACAUGCAAGUCGAACGAACCUUUCGGGGUUAGUGGCGGACGGGUGAGUAACACGUGGGAACGUGCCUUUAGGUUCGGAAUAACUCAGGGAAACUUGUGCUAAUACCGAAUGUGCCCUUCGGGGGAAAGAUUUAUCGCCUUUAGAGCGGCCCGCGUCUGAUUAGCUAGUUGGUUGAGGUAAUGGCUCACCAAGGCGACGAUCAGUAGCUGGUCUGAGAGGAUGAUCAGCCACAUUGGGACUGAGACACGGCCCAAACUACGGAGGGAGGGGGCAGUGGGGAACACUGGAAAAGGGGCGCAAGCCUGAUACAGCAAGACUGGGUAGUGGAAGAAGGCCCUAGGGUGGGAAAGCCAGUGGGUGGGGAAAGAAAAGCAGCAGGCGAAUACCGCGCGGUAAGGACGGUACCCAAAGAAUAAGAGCCGGCGAACUUCGUG
rnacentral:rRNA from 1 species